rnacentral:ncRNA from 1 species
GGUUUCGGUGAACCGAAAGGGAAACCGAAUUAAAAGGGAAUAUGGUGCGAUCGACCCAAAUAGGGGAUCAAUUCCAUAGCUGCCCCCGCAACUGUGAGCGGAUAGCGAACUGAUGUAACCACUGGCUAUAAAGCUGGGAAGGAUCAGUGACGCGACGACCCGCAAGUCAGGAGACCUGCCAUCGCAUAAU